AUUGAACGCUGGCGGCAUGCUUUACACAUGCAAGUCGAACGGUAACAGGCCUUCGGGUGCUGACGAGUGGCGAACGGGUGAGUAAUGCAUCGGAACGUGCCCAGAGGUGGGGGAUAACGCAGCUAAAGCUGUGCUAAUACCGCAUGUGAUCUGAGGAUGAAAGCGGGGGACCAGGCAGCAAUGUUUGGCCUCGCGCCUUUGGAGCGGCCGAUGUCAGAUUAGGUAGUUGGUGGGGUAAAGGCCUACCAAGCCGACGAUCUGUAGCUGGUCUGAGAGGACGACCAGCCACACUGGGACUGAGACACGGCCCAGACUCCUACGGGAGGCAGCAGUGGGGAAUUUUGGACAAUGGGCGCAAGCCUGAUCCAGCAAUGCCGCGUGCGGGAAGAAGGCCUUCGGGUUGUAAACCGCUUUUGUACGGAACGAAAAGGCUCUGGCUAAUACCUGGGGCUGAUGACGGUACCGUAAGAAUAAGCACCGGCUAACUACGUG
rnacentral:rRNA from 1 species